rnacentral:rRNA from 1 species
AAUCGUACCCCAAACCGACACAGGUGGUCAGGUAGAGAAUACCAAGGCGCUUGAGAGAACUCGGGUGAAGGAACUAGGCAAAAUGGUGCCGUAACUUCGGGAGAAGGCACGCUGGCAUGUAGGUGAAGUCCUUCGCGGAUGGAGCUGAAGCCAGUCGAAGAUACCAGCUGGCUGCAACUGUUUAAUAAAAACACAGCACUGUGCAAACACGAAAGUGGACGUAUACGGUGUGACGCCUGCCCGGUGCUGGAAGGUUAAUUGAUGGGGUCAGCCGCAAGGCGAAGCUCUUGAUCGAAGCCCCAGUAAACGGCGGCCGUAACUAUAACGGUCCUAAGGUAGCGAAAUUCCUUGUCGGGUAAGUUCCGACCUGCACGAAUGGCGUAAUGAUGGCCAGGCUGUCUCCACCCGAGACUCAGUGAAAUUGAACUCGCUGUGAAGAUGCAGUGUACCCGCGGCAAGACGGAAAGACCCCGUGAACCUUUACUAUAGCUUGACACUGAACAUUGAGCCUUGAUGUGUAGGAUAGGUGGGAGGCUUUGAAGCGUGGACGCCAGUCUGCGUGGAGCCAUCCUUGAAAUACCACCCUUUAAUGUUUGAUGUUCUAACUCGGCCCCAUAAUCUGGGGUGAGGACAGUGUCUGGUGGGUAGUUUGACUGGGGCGGUCUCCUCCCAAAGAGUAACGGAGGAGCACGAAGGUUAGCUAAUCACGGUCGGACAUCGUGAGGUUAGUGCAAAGGCAUAAGCUAGCUUGACUGCGAGAGUGACGGCUCGAGCAGGUACGAAAGUAGGUCUUAGUGAUCCGGUGGUUCUGAAUGGAAGGGCCAUCGCUCAACGGAUAAAAGGUACUCCGGGGAUAACAGGCUGAUACCGCCCAAGAGUUCAUAUCGACGGCGGUGUUUGGCACCUCGAUGUCGGCUCAUCACAUCCUGGGGCUGAAGUAGGUCCCAAGGGUAUGGCUGUUCGCCAUUUAAAGUGGUACGCGAGCUGGGUUUAGAACGUCGUGAGACAGUUCGGUCCCUAUCUGCCGUGGGCGUUGGAAGAUUGAGAGGGGUUGCUCCUA